AAGUCGCUAUAAGGAAAGAGAAUCAUGGAAGCCAAGUAGUUAGCGCAGCUACAAAUACAAAUACAACAAGUUCAAUCUUAGCUUCUAUCCUUGGCAGCAAAACGAUACAAUAACUUUAGUAAAAUGGAGAAAGCACAGCUGGUGUUCAUUCCCUUGCCUGUUAUGGGCCAUAUUGUAUCCUCAGUUGAGGUUGCAAAGCUACUUCUGACCCGCGAUCACCGACUCUCCGUCACGGUCCUUAUCCUCAACCUCUCUUUUGUCAACUCCAACCAGGUUCAUAACUACAUUGAAUCGUUUGAAGCUUCCUCUUCCACCAUAUCUAAUCGUCUCCAAUUCAUUGUUCUACCUGAAGAAGAGACUGAAUUGUUUAAUUUCACUUCUUCUAUUGAGAUACAGAAACCCCAUGUUAAAGAAGCUGUGUUGAAGAUCACCCAGUCAAAGUUAAUCGCCGACUCACCGGCACCUCGACUAGCAGGUUUUGUUAUAGAUAUGUUUUGCACAACGAUGAUUGAUGUGGCCAAUGACUUUGGUGUUCCAUCAUACAUUUUUUUUACUUCAGGUGCCGCUGUUCUUGGUCUCCUGCUUUAUGUGCAGAAGAUUUAUGAUGAAGAGAAAAUUGACCCUAUUGAGUUCAAGAACUCAGAUGCUGAGUUAUCAGUACCAAGUUUAGUAAACCCAUUUCCUGCUAAGGCUAUGCCUUCUUCGUUGUUGAGUAGACAGUGGCUUCCUGUUUUACUUGACAACGCUAGAAGGUUCGGAGAAGCUAGGGGUAUUAUAGUAAAUACAUUCGUGGAGCUGGAAUCCUAUGCGGUUGAGUCUUUGAAAAUGAGUAUUUACCCUGUGGGACCCAUUUUAAAUGUGGGGUUGGAUGGAAGAAACACUCACCAAGAAAUCAUACAAUGGCUUGACGAUCAGCCGCCA
rnacentral:misc_RNA from 1 species